rnacentral:lncRNA from 1 species
CUGAGGUAUUGGAGUGCCCGCAGACCCCAUUGGGAGGUCCACCAGCAUGAUACUACCAGGGACUCAUGGGUAGACUUUCUGUCAAGCACAGUCAGUUGGAACCAUGUCCUUAUCUGCCUCAUUCCCAGUCACCCUCCCCCCACCCCCGGAGUUCCUGCCUCAGGACUCCGGGUGCUACUGGAGAGAAACGGAUUUCUCCAGCCCUGACCAGCAUAGCUGGGGUUUUCAGCCAUUGCUAUAAUAAAAACCAAGUACCAUAUGAAAAUCAAUGUGCAACAGGAAAUGAGCAUCGUCGUGUGAAGAUAUGCAGUGCCCAAACAGGCAUACACAUUCUAUUAGUUCAGCGUGGUGUGAAAACAGGGGUGUUCUCCAGACCUUGA